rnacentral:lncRNA from 1 species
CUGACUGUGGAGAUCUGGUAGCCUGCAGCAGCUCUGCUCUAUUUUCAUGUCAUCUGUUGGCUCAGGUGGGCUUAACACCGUGCCUUGGAGGUCAGCACAGGAAGAUUUAGAAGAGGAUUACAGAGAGCAAAAGAGAGAGACAAAAGCUGUGAUUCCCCAGCAGUGUCUCCUGCGUGUAUCAGACCAGCGCUGGGCAGCACUGAGAUGCAGAAAGAAGUGGGGCUGCUCUACUAUCAGCAGUUUUUUCCACUGUCACUCAGCAGAUCACAAGUCACUCAGAAUUGGAUAUCCUCAUCCCCAAGGCUGUCAGACACACCACGUCCUGUCCCUGCUGGCUGCACAGCAACGACGGCGACACGUCUGCAUGGAUGGGGAGAUGGAAACCCAGUGUGUAUCAUCUCCUCUGAGGCUGCUCGAGUUGCUCUUCAGUGCUUCAAGGGGGAAGAAAGACCAGAAAAAUAAUAAGGCUUUGUAUGAGUGGUUUAGGGGACUGUGGUCAUCCCUGUCACCAUGGAGCUGCUCAUAGAAUCAGGCACACAAGGACAAAGCAACGAGUAAGGAGAAUGGAGGAGAAUUCAGUACACAUUUGAUAUUGAACAGGAAGGGUCUCCAUGGUGGACUUCUGAGCAGGUAUGCGUUUUGUUUUCGUGCCCUACCUGGUGCUGGUUGCAGUGCAGAAGGUGUGUCCUGAUGCAGGGCUGGAUUACAUCCCACGCAGGAUCCCCAGAUGAGCAAAGCUUGGGUCUGGCAUUUUUUUCCUUCUUUCUUUCUUCAAAUAUUACCUACAAUACAAGGCAGGAAAAAAUCUUUUUAGCUUUGUUUAGGAAAGAAAGCUGCAAUUUCAGAGCAAGUUGUUCAAUCAUGAAACUUAAACUGGACUACACAGAUGUACUUUGACAUCUUCAACCCAAUUGAAAGGCAGUUUCAAUUGAAAGGAUUUUAGUACAGGCAUUUUAAGCUAUCAAAUGAUAGCUGAGAUGUAAAUACCACAGAGAUGCAUGAAAAGCACAGCAGCACUGGGGUGGUAUGGCACAAUGUGAAAAGGGUGUUUACAUCCAAACACGACACGCACAGUUGAGCAUGAAUUCGCAUUAGCUCAGCUUGUGCUUCAAACAUCUAUUUAUUAGCUCUGGGUGGAAACAACUAUUUUUCAGUAGCAGAGUUCAAGUAUCACAAAGGGUUUUUAAUGACUUCUAUAAAACUUAGCACAGCUAUUAUUCCAAGGUCUUA